UCCUGCCUCAGUUCGACAAGAGUUAGCAAAACAUUUGGGCGCUACCUAUCAAUUUGAUUCUCUGGGCUACUCAGCAAUCUAGGCAAUUUUUACGCAGCAUCUUACCUACCAAGAUUCCCUUAACCCCUUCUCUCACCCCUAGGGCACCGCAGGCGGCUUCCCGGGGGGCCCCGGGGCGCAGGGCGGCGCUGGCUCUUCCCGCGCGAGGGAAGGUGCCGUUUCUGCUCGGAGGUCGCCUUUUCCCCAGGGCUUGGCUGCCCACCGAGGGGUUUCUGCGAAAAAAACCACGCUCUCGGCGUCCGUCACCUGCCAAAUAAAGAAGCUGGAACAGCCUAUCCGCAGCAAACCUGACAGGAUCUCUGCUACAUCGCGAGCGCUGGGUUGAAGAUGUGCAUCCAGACGUCUCCUCCCGCGCACAGAACAUGGUAUUUAGUCGGUGCCCAGCUCCUCUGCGUUGUAGGGAAGCCACUGUACAGCUGCCAGUCUCUGCAGCGGGCCGCUGGCGAGAAGGCCGUUUCUCAGCUCACGACUGUAGAAGAGGCUCCUUCCUCUCCACUUCCAGAAUUAGGAGCUGCUUUGUCGUGCUGCUCCGAUGCUCUCAGGACAUCUAAGAGUUCAGCAAGAGAAAUGAAGAGAUGAAAUGCCUCUCAAUCCCCAUGGCACAGGUGGACCUUGGCAGGUUGUUACAGAAUGCAAAGUCAUUGUCACAGCUGCUACUGAAGCUAUUCUGGGUGAACAUACAGUGAAUAUACCGCGGAGUCAGGCAAAGCUACCGAGCUCCACAAUUUCAGGUUCAAGGUCUGACAAGGAUGUUGCAGGAGAUGUUUGAAACAAGCAAAUAUAAAAAGGAAGCAGGGUGGGUGUUUUCUUGACAUCUUUCCCAGUCUUAAAAAGGGAGACAUAAAACCAUUCUUCAUGGCUGUGUUGGCUUUUAAAAGCCCUAAGUAAUAGGGGGAAAAAAAGCUUAAAAGCCUAAAAUCCUCUGGGGCAAUCACUCCCAUUCCACCACAGUGAAACAGUUAAGGGUCACUUUGACAAAGUGAAAAAUGUUAGAGUAUUUUGAUGUAAGACAAUUUUUCCUUUUUUUUUUAGGACAUCAAGCCUUGAUCCCAAAGCUUCAACUUAUGAGGAAUAAGCUAGGUGAUUUUUUUAUCAGUUAUUUCCAAAAAAGCACCCAAUUUAAAUACAUAGAACUGUCUAGUACAGGCUUGUAAACAGACAAUUAUUUAAUCUAGCAGCAACGAUCCUGGCCCUGAAGAUGUGCAAGACAAGAGACCGCAACACAGUUUUGGGACCAUUCUUUGGUUUGUUAACAGGGGCUAUGGGGGGCACAGAGGGUUUGCACCUGGGCCAUGCUCAGGCCACUCAACCCGUAUUGACUUCAGUCAGAAUUGACACAGAACAACCUUCACUGCCACCCAUCCUGAGCCUACAGAACUACCACAUUUGUACUCGUUCUUCUCUAAUUAAGAUUGAUCAUUAGUGAUACAGGCUACAGAUUGACACUCUUCAUUUCCUGGUUCUGUAUUUCUUAGCAAGAGAAAUAUUGUCCAUGAAUGUUCCCCAUUCACAGGCAGAGGUG